rnacentral:rRNA from 1 species
CCCACGGCUCGGCAUCGAGCAGAGGGAAAAGGAGCAAUCCGCUAUGAGAUGGCCUCGCGUCCGAUUAGCUAGUUGGUGAGGUAACGGCCCACCAAGGCGACGAUCGGUAGCCGGACUGAGAGGUUGAACGGCCACAUUGGGACUGAGACACGGCCCAGACUCCUACGGGAGGCAGCAGUGGGGAAUAUUGCACAAUGGGGGAAACCCUGAUGCAGCGACGCCGCGUGGAGGAAGAAGGUCUUCGGAUUGUAAACUCCUGUUGUUGAGGAAGAUAAUGACGGUACUCAACAAGGAAGUGACGGCUUACUACGUGCCAGCAGCCGCGGUAAAACGUAGGUCACAAGCGUUGUCCGGAAUUACUGGGUGUAAAGGGAGCGCAGGCGGGAAAACAAGUUGGAAGUGAAAUCCAUGGGCUCAACCCAUGAACUGCUUUCAAAACUGUUUUUCUUGAGUAGUGCAGAGGUAGGCGGAAUUCCCGGUGUAGCGGUGGAAUGCGUAGAUAUCGGGAGGAACACCAGUGGCGAAGGCGGCCUACUGGGCACCAACUGACGCUGAGGCUCGAAAGUGUGGGUAGCAAACAGGAUUAGAUACCCUGGUAGUCCACACCGUAAACGAUGAUUACUAGGUGUUGGAGGAUUGACCCCUUCAGUGCCGCAGUUAACACAAUAAGUAAUCCACCUGGGGAGUACGACCGCAAGGUUGAAACUCAAAGGAAUUGACGGGGGCCCGCACAAGCAGUGGAGUAUGUGGUUUAAUUCGACGCAACGCGAAGAACCUUACCAAGUCUUGACAUCCCUUGACGAACAUAGAAAUAUGUUUUCUCUUCGGAGCAAGGAGACAGGUGGUGCAUGGUUGUCGUCAGCUCGUGUCGUGAGAUGUUGGGUUAAGUCCCGCAACGAGCGCAACCCUUAUGGUCAGUUACUACGCAAGAGGACUCUGGCCAGACUGCCGUUGACAAAACGGAGGAAGGUGGGGAUGACGUCAAAUCAUCAUGCCCUUUAUGACUUGGGCUACACACGUACUACAAUGGCGUUAAACAAAGAGAAGCAAGACCGCGAGGUGGAGCAAAACUCAGAAACAACGUCCCAGUUCGGACUGCAGGCUGCAACUCGCCUGCACGAAGUCGGAAUUGCUAGUAAUCGUGGAUCAGCAUGCCACGGUGAAUACGUUCCCGGGCCAUUACACGCCGCCCGUC